UACGUAGGGUGCAAGCGUUGUCCGGAAUUAUUGGGCGUAAAGAGCUCGUAGGCGGUCUGUCGCGUCUGCUGUGAAAACUCGGGGCUUAACCCCGGGCCUGCAGUGGGUACGGGCAGACUAGAGUGCGGUAGGGGAGACUGGAAUUCCUGGUGUAGCGGUGAAAUGCGCAGAUAUCGGGAGGAACACCGGUGGCGAAGGCGGUUCUCUGGGCCUUACCUGACGCUGAGGAGCGAAAGCGUGGGGAGCGAACAGG
rnacentral:rRNA from 1 species